rnacentral:rRNA from 1 species
ACGCUGAGGCGCGAAAGUGUGGGGAGCAAACAGGAUUAGAUACCCUGGUAGUCCACACUGUAAACGAUGAAUGCUAGGUGUAGGGGGUAUCGACCCCUUCUGUGCCGCAGUCAACACAAUAAGCAUUCCGCCUGGGGAGUACGGCCGCAAGGUUGAAACUCAAAGGAAUUGACGGGGGCCCGCACAAGCAGCGGAGCAUGUGGUUUAAUUCGACGCAACGCGAAGAACCUUACCAGGUCUUGACAUCCAGUUAAAGCGGUAGAGAUACCGUGUGUGCUUGCACAAACUGAGACAGGUGGUGCAUGGUUGUCGUCAGCUCGUGUCGUGAGAUGUUGGGUUAAGUCCCGCAACGAGCGCAACCCUUAUUUUCAGUUACUAACACGCAAUGGUGAGGACUCUGAAGAGACUGCCGGGGACAACUCGGAGGAAGGUGGGGACGACGUCAAAUCAUCAUGCCCCUUAUGACCUGGGCUACACACGUGCUACAAUGGCCACCACAGAGAGGGGCGAACCCGUAAGGGGGAGCGGAUCUCAAAAAAGUGGUCCCAGUUCGGAUUGUGGGCUGCAACCCGCCCACAUGAAGUCGGAGUUGCUAGUAAU